AGAACUCGAGUCCAGCACAGAUCAUGAGGAAGAUCAUCACACACACACCGCAAUUUACAGCUCAGUGGGAGGGAAUGAUGGGUGGCCGGCACACACGCAGUGUUUCAGAGCUGGAGCAGAUGCUGGAGUCCUGCAGCGCCUUCAUCUACUGCAGCAUCAAGAGCUUUUCCUCCUGUUUCCCUCCUGCAAAGAUGGCCACGCUCAAUCUGUGUGGUUGUCAGAUGGUUUUACUCUUUGACUGCGGUCAGAACACAGACGGAGAACAUCAGAGCCACAGUGUUGUGUGUGCAGACGCUGCUCUUAGCUCAGUGUAUCUGCUGACCCUCAGUGGAGUUCAUUCAGUCCUGAUCAACCAGUGGCAGAGCAGCACCGCAGAAAACACACACAACAUGAGCUCCAUGCUGAACCGUGAGUCUCACACACACUUAAACACAUACAUAUACACUCACACAGACACACACACACAUAUUUGCACAUACAAUAAAUCACAAACACACACUUAUACAAACUCAAUCACAUACACAAAUACACACACACGCAAUAAAUCACAAACACUUACAAUUACAGACGCACAUUCACACACACACACAAUAAAUCACGAACGCACACAAUUACACAUACAGACUUACAUUCACACACACACACUCACUCACUCAUUCACUCACACACGCACACACACACACACACACACACACACACACACACACACACACACACACACACACACACACACACACACAGUAGCAUUAGAAAGAGCAUUAAGAGCGGUAGUGUGAAGCUUCAAUCCAAAUAACUAAACAACAAUAAUAACAAAGGGUGUCAGGGUGGCUCAGUGGUUAGCACUGUGGCCUCACAGCAAGAAGGUUGCUAGUUCGAAUCUCAGCUGGGUCAGUUGGCAUUUCUGUGUGGAGUUUGCAUU
rnacentral:lncRNA from 1 species